AACGUAGGAGACAAACGUUAUCCGGAGUUACUGGGCGUAAAGGGCGCGUAGGCGGCCACCGCAAGUCGACUGUGAAAUCUCCGGGCUUAACCCGGAAAGGUCAGCCGAUACUGCGGGGCUAGAGUGCAGAAGGGGCAACUGGAAUUCUCGGUGUAGCGGUGAAAUGCGUAGAUAUCGGAAGGAACACCAGUGGCGAAAGCGGCUUCCUGGUCCAGCACCGACGUUCAGGCACGAAAGCGUGGGGAGCAAACAGG
rnacentral:rRNA from 1 species